rnacentral:snRNA from 1 species
GUGCUUCAGCAGCACAUAUACUAAAACUGGAAUGAUACAGAGAAGGUUAGCAUGGCCCCUGCACAAGGAUGACAUGCAAUUUUGUGAUGUGUUCCAUAUUUUU